CACGUAGGGUGCGAGCGUUGUCCGGAAUUAUUGGGCGUAAAGAGCUCGUAGGCGGUGUGUCGCGUCGGCCGUGAAAACCUGCAGCUUAACUGUGGGCGUGCGGUCGAUACGGGCAUCACUGGAGUUCGGCAGGGGAGACUGGAAUUCCAGGUGUAGCGGUGAAAUGCGUAGAUAUCUGGAGGAAUACCGAUGGCGAAGGCAGCCUCCUGGGCCAACACUGACGCUCAUGCACGAAAGCGUGGGGAGCAAACGGGG
rnacentral:rRNA from 1 species